AUGCGCAUGCACAUGGCAAAAAAUAUUUACAGUUCAUCAUUCCACCCACUGCACGGCAUAAGGGAAAAAAAGGUGGGCUCUUGGUCAAAGCAGUCACCGGACGGCGGAGGCCACGGUGUGCGCCCAGAGCCGGAGGUUCUCCUUGAGGUCAGCGCCGUCGGCGGCGGCCGGGAUCCUGAAGUUGCUCAGCACCCGCCUCACCUCCGUCUCCUCGUCCUCCCACGCCUCCGACAAGUACGGCCUCCUCGGCGCCGCGUCGGAGGCCUCCGCGGCGGCCCUGUUCCUACAGGCUUCCUCCUCGGCGCAGGCCGCCGCCUCCGCCGCCUUGGCUCUUCUGGCUUCUUCCUCCGCGCGCAGCCGCCUGAGCCCCGGCACGAUGGACGCGAGCUCGGCGUCGACGUCGGUCUCGGAGAAGGUGAAGCCGAGGUCCUGCAGGCCCUUGACCUCCUCGAACUCCAGCUCCGACAGGCUCCGCCCGCGGCGGCUCCUCCGCCUCCUCCCGCCGGGCCGCCGCGCCUCCGGCCUCCGGCGCUCGGGCAGCGGCUCCGGCGCGGCCAGGCCGUCCUUCCCGGACAGGAUGGUCUCGAGCCUCGCGCGGUGGCCGUUGGGGAUCUUGAGCGGCUCCAGCUGGCCGUGGAACGCGGCGGCCUUGGCCUCGUCGCUCCGCGUCCUGCGGUGCCGCUGCAGCCCGGACGGGGCCCGCCGCAGCUCGCUCUUGCUCUCCUCCGCCGGCGCCUGCUCCGGCUGCUCGCGCUCAGGCGCCGGCGGCGGCGGCUGGGGCGCGGGAGGGGAGUAGGCGUUGAGGACGAGGCGGUGGAACCAGUAGGUGUCGUAGAGCGCGAUGGCCUCCUCCGCCACGGCCAGCUGCGGCCGAGGCUGCCGCUCCAUUCGGGGGGAGAGAGGGUGCGCGCGCGUUGGGUUCCGCGACGGGACUGGCUGCGGUGGGCGUUGGGAGCGGCGGCAGGCGAGGUUUUUAUAUGCAAAACGCAGCCCCGUCUAGUCUAG
rnacentral:rRNA from 1 species